UGCUGCUACGAUUUGUGGAAAUAAGGAAGUUCACAAGUGGCCACAUUGGUGGUCUGUUCCCUGGCUUGUUCCAAAUGGCACAAAAUCCAGGGAUGAGGACUCAAGUUGUGAGAUUUGCUGUCACGUCGGACUUGGACUCGACGUGGGGUUGUUGUUGUUGUUGUUUUCCAAUGACUCAGUCUUGACUCAUGACUUGGAAUCCAUCCACCCAUUGCUUUUUUCCUCGUUUUUCACAGGGACUCAGACUUAGCUUGAGACUUGGGACCAAAGACUUGGACUUGGGAUUCAGACCCAAAGACUUGCCAACAUCCCUGCCAAAAAUUAGGAGUGGAAAGAAAUAGAGCGGUGGUUCCAGUGUUCCCUGGGGCAUCUCUUUAGACCGAAGGAAGCCUUCAGGGGCCUCGGCAUGCAGACAAGGAAGCCUUUAAUCUCUGGAAGUUGCCGUCACCACUGGUCCCAAUGUCUGAAUAUAACAGCUCUCCCCCAUGUACCCAGCCAUGACAUCUGCUUGUCCUCCAUUUGAAAAUCUACAGUGAUGCUUUAGUGGAAUGAAAGACUUCAUCUUCAUGUAAAUGAGCAGAAGGCAGGACCACUUUGUUGAUGUGAUGCAGCCCAGCAUCAUGCGACUCAUAUGCACAUCCAUUUGUGUCACA